rnacentral:lncRNA from 1 species
AGCUUCCUGGGUCUCCUCCGCCCCGGCUGGGGGAGGAAGGCCGCGGGGAGGCGAGGCCUAAGUGCCUCUCCCCUCCCUGCUUGUUCAGCCCGGGGCUGAAGCCGAGACCCGGGGCUCCCGGCGGUGGCACUGGCCUAGGGUCGGGACCAGGAGAUUGACUUGAUGCACAACAUCACAAAGGCGAUUUUUGAGAACUGAUAGUGCAUCAGCCGACCCAGGUAAUUUAAAAUAUUCUUCAUCCAGAGAUAGAGGUGGUUCUUCCUCUUACGGACUGCAACCUUCAAAUUCAGCUGUGGUGUCUCGGCAAAGGCACGAUGAUACCAGAGUCCACGCUGACAUACAGAAUGACGAAAAGGAGAGAUCGAUGUCUUAUUGUGAUGAGUCUCGACUGUCAUAUCUUCUUCGGAGGAUCACCCGGGAAAACGACCGAGACCGAAGAUUGGCUACUGUAAAGCAGUUGAAAGAAUUUAUUCAGCAACCAGAAAAUAAGCUGGUACUAGUUAAACAAUUGGAUAUCUUGGCUGCUGUACAUGAUGUGCUUAAUGAAAGUAGCAAAUUGCUUCAGGAGUUGAGACAGGAGGGAGCUUGCUGUCUCGGCCUUCUUUGUGCUUCUCUGAGCUAUGAGGCUGAGAAGAUCUUCAAGUGGAUUUUUAGCAAAUUUAGCUCAUCUGCAAAAGAUGAAGUUAAACUCCUCUACUUAUGUGCCACCUACAAAGCACUAGAGACUGUAGGAGAAAAGAAAGCCUUUUCAUCUGUAAUGCAGCUUGUAAUGACCAGCCUGCAGUCAAUUCUUGAAAAUGUGGAUACACCAGAAUUGCUUUGCAAAUGUGUUAAGUGCAUUCUUUUGGUGGCUCGAUGUUACCCUCAUAUUUUCAGCACUAAUUUUAGGGAUACAGUUGGUAUAUUAGUUGGAUGGCAUAGAGAUCAUACUCAGAAACCUUCGCUCACGCAGCAGGUAUCUGGGUGGUUGCAGAGUUUGGAGCCAUUUUGGGUAGCUGAUCUUGCAUUUUCUACGCCUCUACUUGGUCAGUUUCUAGAAGACAUGGAAGCAUAUGCUGAGGACCUCAGCCAUGUGGCCGCUGGGGAAUCAGUGGAUGAAGACGUCCCUCCUCCAUCAGUGUCAUUACCAAAGCUGGCUGCGCUUCUCCGGGUAUUUAGUACUGUGGUGAGGAGCACUGGGGAAAGCCUCAGCCCAAUUCGGGCCCUCCAAUUACUGAGGCAUACGUAACAGAUGUUCUGUACAGAGUAAUGAGAUGUGUGACGGCUGCAAACCAGGUGUUUUUUUCUGAGGCUGUGUUGACAGCUGCUAAUGAGCGUGUUGGUGUUUUGCUCGGCAGCUUGGAUCCUAGCAUGACUAUACAUUGUGACAUGGUCAUUACAUAUGGAUUAGACCAACUGGAGAAUUGCCAGACUUGUGGUACCGAUUAUAUCAUCUCAGUCUUGAAUUUACUCACGCUGAUUGUUGAACAGAUAAAUACGAAACUGCCAUCAUCAUUUGUAGAAAAACUGUUUAUACCAUCAUCUAAACUACUAUUCUUGCGUUAUCAUAAAGAAAAAGAGGUUGUUGCUGUAGCCCGUGCUGUUUAUCAAGCAGUGCUCAGCUUGAAGAAUAUUCCUGUUUUGGAGACUGCCUAUAAGUUAAUAUUGGGAGAAAUGACUUGUGCCCUAAACAACCUCCUGCACAGUCUGCAGCUUCCUGAGUCCUGUUCUGAAAUAAAACAUGAGGCUUUUAA